GUGCUUAACACAUGCAAGUCGAGCGGCAGCAGGCCCGCAAGGGUGCUGGCGAGCGGCGGACGGGUGAGCAAUACAUAGGAAUCUGCCUUAGAGCGGGGGAUAGCCCGGGGAAACCCGGAUUAAUACCGCAUGAUGUCGAAAGACCAAAGUGGGGGACCGUAAGGCCCCACACUCUGAGAUGAGCCUAUGUCCGAUUAGCUAGUUGGCGGGGUAAAAGCCCACCAAGGCGACGAUCGGUAGCUGGUCUGAGAGGACGAUCAGCCACACCGGAACUGAGACACGGUCCGG
rnacentral:rRNA from 1 species